GCGGUUCCUGGGAUUCGAUUGAGUUUGAUUCUGGCUCAGGAUGAACGCUGGCGGCGUGCUUAACACAUGCAAGUCGAACGGAGAUGUUGCAGCAGAAGCGAAUAGCUUGCUAUGAGUGGAAACAGUGGCAUCUUAGUGGCGGACGGGUGAGUAACGCGUGGGCAACCUGCCCUGCACUGGGGGAUAACACUUAGAAAUAGGUGCUAAUACCGCAUAAUAAAAUAUAUUGCAUGAUAUAUUUUUGAAAGCUGCGGCGGUGCAAGAUGGGCCCGCGUCUGAUUAACCAGUUGGCGGGGUAAUGGCCCACCAAAGCGACGAUGAAUACCCCGCCUGACCAGGUGGACGGUCUCUUUAGUAUUGAUAUAGGGUCUUAACUCCAUACGGGAAGCUAAUAGGCUGAAAACCGAACCCGGAGAGUGAUCCAAGCUCGAGACACGUAAGCCAGGCUGCUAAGACAUUACAGAUUAUAUAUAGUAAACAAAAGAUAAUAAAAAAACCUACGCCAUGUAAUCACGCACUGAUACGACCUAGAUAGACCCAUCUAUCAGUCCUACAUCCCUGUAUCUA
rnacentral:rRNA from 1 species